rfam:Ailuropoda melanoleuca scaffold1343_6, whole genome shotgun sequence.
ACCUGGCUGGCUCAGUGGGAAAAGCAUGCGACUCUUGAUCUUGGGGUUGUGUGUUCGAGUCCCAUGUUGGGUA